rnacentral:sRNA from 1 species
UCGAUCUUUGGUACUGACGACGAAAAAUC